rnacentral:rRNA from 1 species
GGGAUUACCUCAGUAACGGCGAGUGAAGCGGUAACAGCUCAAAUUUGAAAUCUGCCGCAAGGCCGAGUUGUAAUUUGUAGAAGAUGCUUUGGGUAUGGCCCCGGUCUAAGUUCGUUGGAACACGACGUCAUAGAGGGUGAGAAUCCCGUAUGUGACUGGGUGCUUUUGCCUAUGUAAAGCUCUUUCGACGAGUCGAGUUGUUUGGGAAUGCAGCUCAAAAUGGGUGGUAUAUUUCAUCUAAAGCUAAAUAUUGGCCAGAGACCGAUAGCGCACAAGUAGAGUGAUCGAAAGAUGAAAAGCACUUUGGAAAGAGAGUUAAACAGUACGUGAAAUUGUUGAAAGGGAAGCGCUUGCAACCAGACUUGCACGCUGUUGAUCAUCCAGGCUUCUGUUUGGUGCACUCAACUGCGUUCAGGCCAGCAUCGGUUUUGGUGGUGGGAUAAAGGCCUUGGGAAUGUAGCUUCUUUCGGGGAGUGUUAUAGCCCUCGGUGCAAUGCCGCCUACUGGGACCGAGGACCGCGCUUCGGCUAGGAUGCUGGCGUAAUGGUUGUAAGCGACCCGUCUUGAAACACGGACCAAGGAGUCUAACAUCUAUGCGAGUGUUUGGGUGUCAAACCCAUACGCGUAAUUAACGUGAACGGAGGUGAGAACCCUUAAGGGUGCAUCAUCGACCGAUCCUGAUGUCUUCGGAUGGAUUUGAGUAAGAGCAUAGCUGUUGGGACCCGAAAGAUGGUGAACUAUGCCUGAAUAGGGUGAAGCCAGAGGAAACUCUGGUGGAGGCUCGCAGCGGUUCUGACGUGCAAAUCGAUCGUCAAAUUUGGGUAUAGGGGCGAAAGACUAAUCGAACCA